AGGAGGAACAGCCCCAGUGGCGGGGCCAGCUCUGCAGCCCUGGAUUCAGCUCCGGCAGGAACUCCGUCUGCAGGGCCUGGAGGCUCCGGGGCGGG
rfam:Canis lupus familiaris chromosome 23, whole genome shotgun sequence.